rnacentral:tRNA from 1 species
GGGGCUGUGGCUCAGCUGUAGAGCACUCGCCCAGCCCGUGCGAGGCCCUGGGUUCGAUCCUCAGCACCACA